rnacentral:rRNA from 1 species
UACGAAGGGGGCUAGCGUUGCUCGGAAUCACUGGGCGUAAAGGGCGCGUAGGCGGCCAUUCAAGUCAGAGGUGAAAGCCCAGGGCUUAACCCUGGAAUUUGCCUUUGAUACUGUUUGGCUUGAGACCGGAAGAGGUGAGUGGAACUGCGAGUGUAGAGGUGAAAUUCGUAGAUAUUCGCAAGAACACCAGUGGCGAAGGCGGCUGACUGGUCCGGUUCUGACGCUGAGGCGCGAAAGCGUGGGGAGCAAACAGG